UACGGAGGGUGCAAGCGUUAUCCGGAUUCACUGGGUUUAAAGGGUACGUAGGUGGGUUUGUAAGUCAGUGGUGAAAUCUCCAAGCUUAACUUGGAAACUGCCGUUGAUACUAUAAAUCUUGAAUGUUGUGGAGGUGAGCGGAAUAUGUCAUGUAGCGGUGAAAUGCUUAGAUAUGACAUAGAACACCAAUUGCGAAGGCAGCUCACUACACAAAGAUUGACACUGAGGCACGAAAGCGUGGGGAUCAAACAGG
rnacentral:rRNA from 1 species